UAUCCAUUGCAGUUAUUUUAUGAUGUGCACCUGCGAGUGUCAAAAGUUUAGUCAAAAGUUCAGUCAGUGGACAAAGGAUGUGCACCCUAUUGAACUUUUUAACCUCAAACAUCUGGUUAGGUUAAGAAGAAAAACAGGAAUGUUAAUAGCCUAAUGUAUAGCUGGUGGAUGUGAUUUCACAGAGGUUCAGGAUACACUUAGAUAGAUAGA